GGCAGCAUAGUGUAGUGGUUUGAGCAGUGGACUGUGACUCUGGAGACCAGGGUUUGAAUCCCUGUUCGGAUA